rnacentral:rRNA from 1 species
GACGAACGCUGGCGGCGUGCCUAAUACAUGCAAGUCGAGCGAACCAAUGGGAGCUUGCUCCCUGAGGUUAGCGGCGGACGGGUGAGUAACACGUGGGUAACCUGCCUGUAAGAUUGGGAUAACUCCGGGAAACCGGAGCUAAUACCGGAUAAUAUUUUGAACCGCAUGGUUCAAAAUUGAAAGACGGCUUCGGCUGUCACUUACAGAUGGACCCGCGGCGCAUUAGCUAGUUGGUGAGGUAACGGCUCACCAAGGCGACGAUGCGUAGCCGACCUGAGAGGGUGAUCGGCCACACUGGGACUGGGACACGGCCCAGACUCCUACGGGAGGCAGCAGUAGGGAAUCUUCCGCAAUGGACGAAAGUCUGACGGAGCAACGCCGCGUGAACGAUGAAGGCCUUCGGGUCGUAAAGUUCUGUUGUUAGGGAAGAACAAGUACCAGAGUAACUGCUGGUACCUUGACGGUACCUAACCAGAAAGCCACGGCUAACUACGUG